UUUUUCCCUCACACACGUAAGACUACCCGCUGAACUUAAGCAUAUCAAUAAGCGGAGGAAAAGAAACCAACCGGGAUUGCCUCAGUAACGGCGAGUGAAGCGGCAAAAGCUCAAAUUUGAAAUCCUUCGGGAGUUGUAAUUUGUAGAGGGGUGUCUUUGGGGCGGCAUUGUCUAUGUUCCUUGGAACAGGACGUCACAGAGGGUGAGAAUCCCGUGCGAUGAUGCCUCAACCAGUACAAGACCCUCUCGACGAGUCGAGUUGUUUGGGAAUGCA
rnacentral:rRNA from 1 species